rnacentral:rRNA from 1 species
UAGUCCACGCCGUAAACGAUGUCUACUUGGAGGUUGUGGCCUUGAGCCGUGGCUUUCGGAGCUAACGCGUUAAGUAGACCGCCUGGGGAGUACGGUCGCAAGAUUAAAACUCAAAUGAAUUGACGGGGCCGCACAAGCGGUGGAGCAUGUGGUUUAAUUCGAUGCAACGCGAAGAACCUUACCUACCCUUGACAUCCUCAGAACUUGUUAGAGAUAACUUGGUGCCUUCGGGAAUUGAGUGACAGGUGCUGCAUGGCUGUCGUCAGCUCGUGUCGUGAGAUGUUGGGUUAAGUCCCGCAACGAGCGCAACCCUCAUCCUUAUUUGCCAGCGGUUCGGCCGGGAACUAUAAGGAAACUGCCGGUGAUAAACCGGAGGAAGGUGGGGACGAUGUCAAGUCAUCAUGGCCCUUACGGGGUUGGGGCUACACGCGUGCUACAAUGGGUGUUUACAGAGGGGAAGCAAUAUGGCGACAUGGAGCAAAAUCCUACAAAAACAUCUCAGUUCGGAUU